rnacentral:siRNA from 1 species
UUGCCCAUCUUUGCUCAUUCUUGC